UAGCAUCAAAUCAUAUCCAUAACACCUGUGAACUGUAAGGCUGUCUUGAAAACGAAAGUGAUUAGAGCGCCUGCCCAUUUUAUACAAACAUUAAAGUAACAAACGUAGUCUUAUUAUAAUCUAAUAAAACUUUCAACAACGGAUCUCUUGGCUCUCGCAUCGAUGAAGAACGCAGCGAAAUGCGAUAAGUAAUGUGAAUUGCAGAAUUCAGUGAAUCAUCGAAUCUUUGAACGCACCUUGCGCUCUUUGGUAUUCCGAAGAGCAUGCCUGUUUGAGUGUCAUGAAAAUAUCAACCUUGACUUGGGUUUAGUGCUCUUGUUUUGGCUUGGAUUUGGCUGUUUGCCGCUCGAAAGAGUCGGCUCAGCUUAAAAGUAUUAGCUGGAUCUGUCUUUGAGACUUGGUUUGACUUGGCGUAAUAAGUUAUUUCGCUGAGGACAAUCUUCGGAUUGGCCGAGUUUCUGGGACGUUUGUCCGCUUUCUAAUACAAGUUCUAGCUUGCUAGACAUGACUUUUUUAUUAUCUGGCCUCAAAUCAGGUAGGACUACCCGCUGAACUUAAGCAUAUCAAUAAGCGG
rnacentral:rRNA from 1 species